ACAAGCGCGGGCCGCUGUGGCCGCCUGCCACUCUCCUCUGCUGACCCACAGAUGUGAGCACGGGCCGCCGCCGCCGCCACCCACCGCUGCCACGUUGAAGAAGAGUCACCAAGCCGGCGAACUUUGAUCAGUAUUGCAUCAUUGCCUGUUCAAGCAUUAGCAAGUACAGUCAAUGAGGAAAAUCUACCGGAUCUGAAGUACCAAUUCGAUACAAUUGAUGUUGAUAAGUGGACCAAUUACUGUAUUGAAGAAAUACAGCAUGUAAGAUUUAGAGUAUUUCAUAUGAGAAUGUUUUGCGCCGGUACUAGAUGCGCUGAUGAUCUUUGUAUGUUUUAGUGGCCCUUGUGAAGGAUCUUCACACUAAAGUCUCCUCAUGUUCUCAAGAUUAUUCAAGCAAGCAAGCAAUAUACUGUAUCUCUCAAGCAAUUUACUCAUACGUGUGAUUGGAAAGACGACAACCAUUUGUUCUACGACACUACUAUCUGACAGGUUCUUAACUCAUCAGGCCGGGCUACUGAGUAUACAUAUUGUGUUCAUCUCGCCUUCCUUCUUAGGAAAAAUCAUGUACUGAAGGUUUAUUCACCAUUAAAUUUCUAUGAAGGGACUUGCCAAUCCACCUUACACCCAUACUAAAAUAGUGUUUCCAGAGAGUAGAAACAUCGCAUGCAGAAAUCUUCAAGAAGACGUGAUUGAAGUUGUAACCGAUGAAAUGCCUGCUGGUGAAGCUAUUAUGGAUCCAACUCACCACCUAAUUGGCGACAAAGGUAGGUCCGAUUAAGUGAUCAACAUGCAUGCAUCAUGAGCUACUUACUGUUAUUCAGAGAUACAGUCUGAUAGUAGUAACUUAAUUUGCUUAGAUGCUCGCGAAACCCUAGAUAACGGCUCAUUUUUCAGCCCAAUUGUGACAAAUAUGGUAACAUGCCAAAUUAUUUUCCUUUUAGAUUUAUUAUUCCACAGUUGCACACUGUCUGUCAUCAGUAAGUUAAUCAAGAUAAGUUUCACAUGCAUGUACUGAACAAACAAAUCUCCGACGACAACCAAUUCUGUGAAAGUUGCUGCCUCUAUCUUUUGUGCCGUGUAAGUCUUUCUUGUGUAUCUGAUCACCAAGUAUUUUUCCCUAUACCAUGUAUCAUCCGAAGGGGCGACAGACCAAAGUCUCGGAUUCCUCGAGCAACAUAUGUAGUGUUGUCAGUCGAUGUGAAUCCGUCUACUCCUAGGCAACAACGGAGGGGUGAUUGGGAUACUGAAAGCCAGUGUAUGGAGGCUUAGUGGAGUCAGUCACCAGCCUCUUCGUUGUUUAAACAACAACAUCAAGCGGCGCCAGAAACAUGUCAGUUACUUUCAUCUUGGGCAUAGCCAACUUUGUUGGUGGACUUCCUCUCAUUUUUCACAAUAUUGCUGAUCCGAGAGACAGCAGAGUCAUGAACGAGGACAAAUGAGAAGGUCGGCCACUACUGACUCAAGCUUGGAUGUGGUCGAAAGCCCGGCUCCACAUGGUUCUACCACUGCUCUCACACAUGGUGUUCGGGCUACUUCCACCAGUGCUCUGCGGGUUGUCGUUCCGCGAGAGUAACGACAGGGAGAACAAGAUGAUGGAUGUCACCAGUGCUUCGCUUGCCUGCAUCGCUCUGCUAGCGCUCGGGAAGGUUAUGGCCACAAAAGAGCCAUGACAUACUUCAAGACUCUCAUUUACUACCUUACCAUCGUUGUGAGCUUGUCCGGAAUGUCGUACAUCGCCGGUGUACUGGUCAUGAGGCUUCUAGGACACUUGACACCAUUGAUCAAGGUGGUGCAUCGGCUCCUCAUGCUUCUCCAGGCCUGUUGUUCUCUCAUUUAGGUGGUGCGCAUAUGUCUGCCUAGGCCUCAUUAUGAAGUCUCAAGUUCCUCGGAGCACUGAUGGUAUAAAAAGAGAAGACAUGGGUGAGUUGAAGAGAAAGUGCAUGAAGAAACAUCUCAAUCUUUUUGAGUUGCUACCUACUAUUUUGUUGUAAUUCUGGUGUACAUUUUAAGUUGCUAACAUUUCAUGUCCAAAUGUGCGAUCUUGGUCACU